UUGUCUUUCUCUGUGUGACUUACUUCACUUAGUAUGAUAAUCUCUAUGUCCAUCCAUAUUGCUUCAGAUGGCAUUAUUUCAUUCUUUUUUCAAUGUAAUCAAAUAUUCUUCCACAACACCUUUUAUUUUGGCUGUACCAUUAUUUAAUUAAUCCCCUAUUAUUGAACAUUUAGGUUGUUUCUCAUCUUUUAAAGAUUAUAAAUAUGGUUGGCAUAAAUAUUCCAUGUAACUAAAUAUUUGUCCAUACUCUUGAUUAUUCUCUUAGAACAUAUUUCCAGAAGUGGAAUUGCUGAGUCAAAAAUACACAUGGAUUUUAGGCUCUUGGUUCAUGUUAGUGCCCUUUUCUUUAGAAAGUCUAUACUAAUUUACAUGCUAAUUUGGUUGUAGUUUAUCACUUGGCAUUUUUACACCUUUACAGCUAUAUCUCUUGUGCAACCAAACAUACUGACUGUGUGGUGCUCCAAAUUGGUAAUAAGAGGGUCAAAAAUAAUUGACUAAAGUCUACCAUACCCUGAUUAUUUCAGUUAUAUUAAUCUGGCGUAAUCUUUUCCCCUGUCUGUUCUUGGCUAAUCUGGAUCCAUGAUGAUACAUGUUAUUGUUCUGCAAGAAGCCUGAAAUAAAUUGAAGAAGGGAGCCUGUCAGUUGCAGUCUAAUAUGGUAUAUUAACACUUAACCCAAAUUCAGGCACAUGUCAUCCAUUAAUCACAAGCCAAUAGAAUAAGCUUGAAUUGUGAUGAUAUUAACCAGAAAAGGGUUCCAGAAUAACUCUGAAGCAGAACAUGUAACCCUUUCACCCAGGAAACUACCUCACAAAUUAAUGGGCUCACCAUUAAAACUGGAAAAGCUUCUGAAGUUCAACCAGGUUUGCUGCUCAGAUGCUAUUGGUAGAAGACCCAGACAUAAUUUCACCUUUUAAUUUUCUCAUUUCUUCCAAGCCUUUUUUUUUUUUUUUUAAAUCUGCAAAUUUUACUAGGUGGAGUAUGGUAGAGAUUAUACAUCGUUUACAUAUUUUAGAUUCCAAAUUGUGAAAAAACCCAAAAAUUGAUAGUGCUAUUUUCUUUAGUGCCUAUUAACCUCUCUGUAAGGCAUAAAGUCUGCUCAUGAGUCAUGCACCAGCAGAGAGAAACAAUUAAAAAUCAGCUCUUCCCCCACUUCCACCCCUAAAAAUGUUUCUAGCCUCAAAAAGGAACUUAGUUCUCGGCAAUUUUAGUCUAAAAUGCUUCUUCAGCUUUUCUUAGGCUCUGGCCACCUCAAAAUGCAAGUGAAGACAAAAUUGUCCCAAAGAUUAAUUUCUGGUGAUUGAACUUCUAUCUUAAAAACUAAGCUGUUUCACUUCCUUAUGAAAAAACAAAUUUCUUGAAGAUUAGUUUCCAUUCCAUGUUUGUAAUCCCUAAAAUGCCUAAUCUUUGAUAUGCGUUUGUGUGGCAUGAGAAUGUCCUAUAUCCCCACAGAAGCAAGAUGUUAGUGUUACUGGUAAUACACUGUAGUAGAGAGAGCACCUAUUUAUGCAGAGGUCAAAAUACCCAGGUUUUCCUUCAGGCUUUACCAGCCUGCUAGUAGACUUUGUCACCUUCAGCAAGUUAAUAAAUCUUUCUGAACUCUAGUUUUCAUAGUUAUAAAAUGAUGAUACAAAUAAAUUUUCUCCUUAUAGAGCAGAUCUUUUUAAAGAUCAAGGGAAAUGAGAUAAUAGAAUGUCAUGUAACCUGACUAGUAUAUUUCAAAUGAAAAAUUUUAUUAAUGUUUAUUAUCUUAAAGGCACAUAUUACUGUUUAUCUUAUUAAACUUAUUUCCAAAUGUUUGGGUUGAAAUGAUAACCUAAAUCAACCUUCCUUUGUACAUAGUUUUUUAGUUUAAACAUUUGUAUCUACAGAUUUUUUUUUUACUAGAAAUAUGUAUUUUUUACUGUAUUUAUUUUUCUUUCUUUUUGAAUUAAAAAAUACUUGCAGAAAAGUGCCCAAAUCAUAGGUGAAGAAGCACAGGUAAAUGGCAUGCUCAUUUAGGGUUCCCGCAUCACCCUUUUCAAUCUGCUACACAACUCUCCUUGCCCUAAGGGGAUUAGGACCUAGCUUCCUAAUCUAUUACUGAGUUUCCUGUGAUGUCAUGAUGAAAUGGAAUGCAAUCAGGGCACCUACUAAAUGUAUGAUAUAACACAUCACUCAAACACUCUUGGCUUCAAUUCUCAUCUUUAAAAAUAAGGAGGUUGAACUUUGAAGUUUUUUUUUUUUUUUUUUUCCAUCUCAACAUUUAAUGAUUCUUUGAACGGACACUGUUUAUCUAGGUUAGUACUAUUUUUGUACAACAUCGUCUGUGGUUUGUUAGCUCAGGUGGAGCGUCACAGAAGUCAUGUUCUAAAUGAGAGGUAGCCCGUUAACUUUUUCCUCUGCUGUGAACGUAAGCAAACCCCUGACUUCACCCAUAUGACAAACAUGGUCCCCGAGGAGUAGGUGACAGGGAACGAUGAACCGAAGUAACUAAGGGACCUCCACCUCUCCUACAACCCUGGAAGAAUUACCUCAAAGCACUUUCCUCUUCUUGGUGCAUUGGGCAAUGUCACAUCACAUGAAGAGCAGAAUAUUUCUACAAUUAGAUUGUUUUGGAUCCAUCAUUCAGUUGUGGGAUAAAUAUGGACUUAUGCCACUUAGCAAUUAAAAUACUGUUUGAGUAGAAAUAUUUACUACCUAAGUAGUAGGAUUAAAAAUUUUUUUUUUUUUGCCUUGGUUAUAUAAGUAGAAGGAACCUAGAGUUCCAUGACUUCUGUCCUCAGAAGCUGAGAUGAGGAAGAAUGAAUUAAAAUAACUUCCUUCAAAAGUCAAAACAGUAAGCAUUGCUAUCUUCCUCCACAGUCUUGUGACAUGUGCUCUGCCAUGGGUUGAGUGGUAGUUCUCAGUCUCCUAGCAUGAGGUAUUUAUUUAGAUGCUUUUAUGUUAUAAUAUUUGCUGAAUGAUUUCUUCAAAGGGAAAGUUUCAUUUUUAUAGUAACCAAAUAGAUGAAUGAAGAGGAACCUACUUGCCUCAAGGCCCAGAAUCCCAAGACACUAUGCCUUUGAUGGAAAGGGAACAAAUCUCUAGGAUUCAGGGGGCAUUUUAUCCCACUAGUUCAUGUUCCAGGCUUCCACUAGGACCUAUGUCUUUACCUAUGGCUCAGAGUAAUCUGUUCCCCAAGGUGUGCCUGUGGUGAAGUGAGAACUCAAAUUUCUUUUUCUUCUUUGUGAGAAACACUGGCUAGAAUCACAUAGCCCAAAGCAAUAAUAAGAACUUAAAUGCUUUCAAUAACGGUGCUUCCAAGUACAUUCAUAGUUCAUGGUUGUGGCUGCCCAAGAUAGGGAGCAUGGUGAGCCACAAGUUCAGGAUAUAUUUUGUGCCACAUCUUGAUGGAACUUGAGGAAAAGUGGGAGACACAUUUCCUCCUGUGGACUACUGUGGAGUAUGACUUUCAGCUCUUCUCACAGGGGAAACCCAUACUGAUGUGGGGAUGGUUAUUGUCUCCUCUGCAGCCUGGUAGGAUGAGGAGAGUGCUUUCUGCUUACCUUUGUGAAAAUGGCUUAAAUUUCACUCCCAACAUGCAUUUCUCCUACUACCUCCCCCAAGGUCAAACAAGAAAUCCAACCCCCAAAUCUAAACACCAGACAAGUAACUUGAAAAAUGAAAAUAAAUUUUCAAAUCCAAAAGCUGUGUGCUUCCGUGAUUGAAAAUCUUUUUCUUAGCGAGUAGGAGUUGCUUUCAUCAUUGCUAGUCAUAUGUUUUUGUUUUUCAUUUCUGGUGGAGAAGUUUUCUAGGGUAUUUUUCAAACUUUCCAGCUUAGCAAAGCGUUGGCUAAAAUUGAAAAGAGAACUAGGCGUUGGGUCGGAGGCAGCACUAGAUUUGUUCUUGGGGGUGGGGGCAGGUUGCUGACGCAGCGAAAAUAAGACAAAACAUUUGAAACUUCUGGCUUUGUACUUCUCAAAUGCCUCUUUUAGAAAUCGCUUAAGUCGUUAUUAACAUCCACCACCCACCUUCCCUUUUUGGUCCUGACAUUGGGUAAUAAUAGAUAAUGUUGACAUAUGUUCCCUGCUGGUCAGAAAUACUAUACUUCUGUGAAAGAAUGUUAACAAACAUGGCGCAUUGAUGGAUGGGCCGGCCAAUGGGAGAGCAGUCUGCUCUACUUUGUAGGAUGUAUUGGAGAAUGGAAAAGGGAAAAUGUGAGUACAGAGAAAGUAGCACUGAUUUCCAUCACAAAAAAGAGAUUCUACAGAGCUCUGGAGGAAAGUCACACCACAGCACAGGCAGAUCCUGGUAUACAACAAUGUGAAAUUUGAGGCAAAUAAUGAUGAAUGGCAGAGAAUUAUGGCUACUCUUCUGGCCUUUUCCAUACAAGAUGUGCAUGUGUUCUUCUUCAAGGAUGAUCCCUCCAGAAUGGAUGCCAGCUGAACGUUACGUAACACUGGGAGGCCCAGGUCUGCCAAUGCUGGCAUUCCUUAUUCUGAGAAAAACCAUCCUAGUUAAGUAGACUCUCCCUGUGUCUCACUAACUGUACAAAACCGCAUGCUGCUGGCAGGUAAUGGCUUGUAAUUAGCGUGGAAGGCAGGUAAUGACUUGAAAUCACCUGCCAAUUUUUUUCUGAGUAUUUGCUCUGUUUCAGAACCUGGGGUGAGUGGGAAAGUCUUGGGUGGGGGGGUAUGAGGAGGCAAACAGAGAAAAGGGGGAGGAACUCAACCAGGGAAUAUCUUUUUGCACAGAAUUUCUCCCCAACUGUUGCUUAUUUUACCCUCAGGUCUUCCCCAAGUGGCUCUAGAAAGGCAUUGAGAAUUGGCAGGUUACUCUACCUGCCUGCUGCUCCUACUGGGAUAGAUGGCGCCUGUUGAGAAAUUUGUUGCUGUUUUGGAAUCACAUCAGCUUUCUUAGUUUCAGCCUCCGCACUAGAAAACUGAGAUGGAGAGAGAAUGGCAGCUCAGCUUGUUAGAAAAGAAGCACGAAUUACUUACUCAAAGCCAGAUUUUACUUCCCUGUUACAACUGCCUCCUUUCUCUUUCAUGAUCAUUCCCCAGUGUCAUGGGGAGGUGUUGGGGUUGAAGCAAGAAAAGCUGAGCAAGGAGCCUGUGUAAGAGUGAGACUGGAUCACUUCUCUAAGGAUCCCACAAAUGCUUUAGAUUAGUGCUUAAAGCAUAAAAAUACAUAUAAGGUCCAAGAGAGUAAUGCAGUUGAACAUAUUGAGAGGUGGGUGGAGGAGGGAGGAAGUAAUGGCCAGCUGGACAGUAUGUGGCCUCUCUAAACUUGAGCCACAGCCAUUUUGCUCCAGCCAAUUGCUAGAAUGUGGGUUCAGAGUGGCCAGCUUUCCUAAAGUCUUGAGGAACCAGAAAUAUGGAACUUUAUGGAAAAAUAUCUCAUUUUUAAGGCAUUGAAACUAAUUAAAAAAAUUUAAACCUUUGAGUGAAAUAAAAUCAGCAGCCUGAUUUCAGGCCACAGGCAGCUAGUUGAUGAUUUCUGUUUUAAAUUACUUCUUCUUGGUACCUUUUCUUUUUGUCAUCUUGUUAGAUUAGUAAAAAGGGGGAAAAAAACCAGAAACAAAGACAGACUCAAACAUACAACAAGUGUUACUUGGCUCUUACAAUUUUCUCGUGAUUGUUACACCCAAAUGCUUGGAAAAGAACUUCUUAGGAAAUGGCCUCACAUAAAAUCUGCCUGGUUUUGAGGUUUCCCUAUGUUUUGAGGGUUUCCUUGGGCCAAACCAGUGGGGUUCGUUCAAACUUACUUUUAAAAGCACCUCUCUGAGCCCUGACUGGUUCUAACAAGUCAUUAUUAAGAACCCACUGACUUCUCUAAGGCCAGCUGUCCCAAAGCCUCCAAAAACACAGUCGAGGAGUUGAUAAGGCAUGGAUUUUGUUUGAUCUGGGCCCUGCCUACUCAUUAUCAUCUCGACCUUAAGUAAGCCAUUCCAUUUCUUCAGUCUUGGUUUUCUAGCUAGUAAAAUAAGGGUGAUGUACUUACUUUGUAGAACUGUGCUUGGGGUUAGAAAAAAUAGUUGAAUUACUCCUUUUAUUAAUCUUUCAUAUAACAUAGAUGAGUAGAUUGUUGUCAUGGGACUCAAUAGGCAGAUACAUAUUUUAUUCUCAUUAAAAUUCAGAUUGUAAAUAUACUUUAUAUUUAUUUGAAUUCAAGCCCUUUUAUGCUUUUCCAGAAUAUUUAAAGAAAACUAGUAAAUGUUCUUAAUAAAGUUCAUUUUCAACUUAAACAGUAUGAUAUAUAUCACUUUCAUGUGGAAUCUAAAAUAUGGCAUAAAUGAAGCUAUCUACAAAACAGAAACAGACUCACAGACUUGGA